CAGACAACCAGGAGUAACUGUGAUCAGGAACUUGAGCAGCUAACGUCAAGCUUGUCAGAAUGCCCUACUUUGCAAGACAUAAAACAGUGGCAAGUCGAGGAGCUUCAAGCAAUGAAUGGGGCAAGGGAGAGAAGACGGGCAAAUCAG